CGGGAUAGCUCAGCUGGUAGAGGAGAGGACUGAAA
rnacentral:tRNA from 1 species